rnacentral:lncRNA from 1 species
AUGAAGGGGAGGAGAGGACGGAUGUUUAAGCAAUUUGAACAGCCGACUGAGUCUUCUCUUCCCUGCUACAGACUGUCUCACCUUUCUCUUCUCUGCUACAGACUCUCCUUUCUCUUCUCUGUCUCUCCUUUCUCUUCCCUGCUACAGACUCUCCUUUCUCUUCCCUACUACAGACUGUUUCUCCUUUCUCUUCCCUGCUACAGACUGUAUCUCCCUUCUCUUCCCUGCUACAGACUGUUCUCUCCUUUCUCUUCCCUGCUACAGACUGUCUCUCCUUUCUCUUCCCUGCUACAGACUCUCCUUUCUCUUCCCUGCUACAGACUCUCCUUUCUCUUCCCUGCUACAGACUGUCUCUCCUUUCUCUUCCCUGCUACAGACUGUCUUCCUUUCUCUUCCCUUACUACUGUCUUCUCCUUUCUCUUCCCUGUCUCUCCUUUCUCUUCCCUGCUACAGACUCUCCUUUCUCUUCCCUGCUACAGACUCUCCUUUCUCUUCUCUGACUACAGACUCCCUUUCUCUUCCUGCUACAGACUGCUCUCCUUUCUCUUCCCUACUAUUUCUCUCCUUUCUCUUCCCUGUCUCUCCUUUUCUUCCCUCACGACAUCUCCCUUUCUCAUUCCCUGCUACAGAAACUCUCCUUUCUACUUCCCGCUACA